rnacentral:rRNA from 1 species
UACGUAGGGUGCAAGCGUUAAUCGGAAUACUGGGCGUAAAGCGUGCGCAGGCGGCUUUGCAAGACAGAUGUGAAAUCCCCGGGCUCAACCUGGGAACUGCAUUUGUGACUGCAAGGCUAGAGUACGGUAGAGGGGGAUGGAAUUCCGCGUGUAGCAGUGAAAUGCGUAGAUAUGCGGAGGAACACCGAUGGCGAAGGCAAUCCCCUGGACCUGUACUGACGCUCAUGCACGAAAGCGUGGGGAGCAAACAGG